GACGAACGCUGGCGGCGUGCUUAACACAUGCAAGUCGAACGGUAAGGCCCUUUCGGGGGUACACGCGUGGCGAACGAGUGAGUAACUCGUGAGUGAUUUGCCCACCCCUUAGGGUUAACGAACUGAAACUGAUGCUAAUACUGGAUGUGUGCUCCCGCUGCCUGGUGGGGGUUGGAAAGAUCCGGCGGUUGUGGAUGGACUCGCGGCCUAUCAGCUUGUUGGUUGGGUAGUGGCCUGCCAAGGGGGCGGCGGGUAGCCGGCCUGGGGGGGUGGCCGGGCACAUUGGGGCUGAGGAAAGGGCCAGACUCCUACGGGAGGGAAGAGUGGGGAAUAAUGGAAAAUGGGGGGAAGCCUGAUGCAACAACGCCGCGGGGGGGAUGAAGGGCUUCCGGUUGUAAACCGCUUUCAGCAGGGACGGAGCUGUGAGUGACGGUACCGGCAGAAGAAGCACCGGCUAACUACGUG
rnacentral:rRNA from 1 species